UACGUAGGGUGCAAGCGUUGUCCGGAAUUAUUGGGCGUAAAGAGCUCGUAGGCGGCUUGUCGCGUCGACUGUGAAAUCCCGCGGCUCAACGUGCGGGUCUGCAGUCGAUACGGGCAGGCUAGAGUUCGGUAGGGGAGACUGGAAGUUCCUGGUGUAGCGGUGAAAUGCGCAGGAUAUCAGGAGGAACACCGGUGGCGAAGGCGGGUCUCUGGGCCGAUACUGACGCUGAGGAGCGAAAGCGUGGGGAGCGAACAGG
rnacentral:rRNA from 1 species